UGGGGAAUAUUGCACAAUGGGCGCAAGCCUGAUGCAGCCAUGCCGCGUGUAUGAAGAAGGCCUUCGGGUUGUAAAGUACUUUCAGCGGGGAGGAAGGGAGUAAAGUUAAUACCUUUGCUCAUUGACGUUACCCGCAGAAGAAGCACCGCCUAACUCCGUGCCAGCAGCCGCGGUAAUACGGAGGGUGCAAGCGCUAAUCGGAAUUACUGGGCGUAAAGCGCACGCAGGCGGUUGUUAAGUCAGAUGUGAAAUCCCCGGGCUCAACCUGGGAACUGCAUCUGAUACUGGCAAGCUUGAGUCUCGUAGAGGAGGAUAGAAUUCCAGGUGUAGCGGUGAAAUGCGUAGAGAUCGGGAGGAAUACCGGUGGCGAAGGCGGCCCCCUGGACGAAGACUGACGCUCAGGUGCGAAAGCGUGGGGAGCAAACAGG
rnacentral:rRNA from 1 species